GGGUUUGAGCAAGGAGGUUAUUGGACUCUUGAUUGGAUUGGAUUCUUGAUUUUCUGUCAAGAAGAGGCUCGUUGAGAGGUUGUGAAAUUUCUUAGCUCGGACCUGAGGUAGCAAAUAUGAUUUCUCUGUGGCACGCGUGGUGACGUGAGGAGUUUUAUCGUCGUAGGGUGUAUGGCGUGGGGCAUCAUAUGG